rfam:Triticum aestivum genome assembly, contig: Triticum_aestivum_CS42_TGACv1_scaffold_378090_5AL
GAGGUGCUCCCUCCGUUCUAAAUUACUUGUCGCAGGUAUGAAUGUAUCUAGAUGUAUUUUAGUUCUAGAUACAUCCAUUUCUGCGACGAGUAAUUUGGAACAGAGGGAGUACUAG